rnacentral:rRNA from 1 species
AACGAACGCUGGCGGCAUGCCUAACACAUGCAAGUCGAACGAGACCUUCGGGUCUAGUGGCGCACGGGUGCGUAACGCGUGGGAAUCUGCCCUUGGGUUCGGAAUAACAGUUAGAAAUGACUGCUAAUACCGGAUAAUGUCUUCGGACCAAAGAUUUAUCGCCCAGGGAUGAGCCCCGCGUAGGAUUAGCUAGUUGGUGAGGUAAAGGCUCACCAAGGCGACGAUCCUUAGCUGGUCUGAGAGGAUGAUCAGCCACACUGGGACUGAGACACGGCCCAGACUCCUACGGGAGGCAGCAGUGGGGAAUAUUGGACAAUGGCGAAAGCCUGAUCCAGCAAUGCCACGUGAGUGAUGAAGGCCUUAGGGUUGUAAAGCUCUUUUACCCGGGUAUGAUAAUGACAGUACCGGGAGAAUAAGCCCCGGCUAACUCCGUGCCAGCAGCCGCGGUAA